UGGGGAAUUUUGGACAAUGGGCGCAAGCCUGAUCCAGCAAUGCCGCGUGCAGGAUGAAGGCCUUCGGGUUGUAAACCGCUUUUGUCAGGGAAGAAACGAGUUUCUCUAAUACAGAGACUUAAUGACGGUACCUGAAGAAUAAGCACCGGCUAACUACGUGCCAGCAGCCGCGGUAAUACGUAGGGUGCGAGCGUUAAUCGGAAUUACUGGGCGUAAAGCGUGCGCAGGCGGUUAUAUAAGACAGAUGUGAAAUCCCCGGGCUCAACCUGGGACCUGCAUUGGUGACUGUAUAGCUAGAGUACGGUAGAGGGGGAUGGAAUUCCGCGUGUAGCAGUGAAAUGCGUAGAUAUGCGGAGGAACACCGAUGGCGAAGGCAAUCCCCUGGACCUGUACUGACGCUCAUGCACGAAAGCGUGGGGAGCAAACA
rnacentral:rRNA from 1 species